GUAAACACACGAUCAGGUCUUCCACCCGUAAGCUCAUCCGCUCCAAACCAACCCCCUCCUGAGGAUAUCCCUGUUCCUCAAGAGGAAUCAUCAGAAGUGCCAGUGCCCCAGCCGGCAGUCGUCACUACUGGAGCCUUUGAAGAGCUCAGGCAACAGGUCGCCACACUGACUCAGCUGCUAAGUCAAAGAAAUUCGCAUCCAUCACCCACACCGGCACCCCAGGGGGGUUUUAUGGCUGAUGCUCGAGCUCGAGCUCAUGUCCCUGACAAUGGCGGAGCAGGGGCCUCGGGUAUACCACAUGUGACCUCGGCCUCGAGAUCAGUGACCAUGGAGUCCGGGGAACUCGCUAGGAUUAUUCAAGAAGGAAUUACGGCGGGCCUACUCCAGGGCAACAAAGGGACAACAAGAUUCAGUCCCAAUACUCCAUUUACUCCCGAGAUAUUAACAUUCCCCUUGCCGGACAGAUUUAAGUAUCCUAGGAUCAAAGAGUACGAUGGGACCACCGAUCCAAUCAAUCAUCUGAACAUAUACACGGACGUCAUGAAUUUACAGGUCGCACCAGAUCAGGUGAUGUGCAAGGCAUUCCCGCAAACCUUGACGAAUGCCGCUAGGGAUUGGUUCUCAACCUUAGAGUCCAACUCCAUAGCCUCAUUCUCGGAUUUGGCGGACAAGUUCUCCGCUUUCUUUGCAAGCAGCAAACGCAUCAGGAAGACAGCGGCUUCCCUCAUGCAACUUAGACAGGGGCAAAAUGAGACCUUACGUGACUUCAUGACCAGGUUCAACAAGGAAAGACUUCAGAUUCCCGACCUACACAUAACUGCAGCGGUUUCUGCCCUCACAUAUGCCAUAAAGUGUGAGGCCUUCAAGAUGUCUUUAUCCAAAACACCGCCAAAAACAGUGACCGAGCUUCUUACCCGAGCCGAGAAGUACAUAAAUAUGGAGGAAACACUGAACCCGAGAAAGGUUGGACCAUCCCAUGACAGGGUCGAGCAUAAAAGACAGCAUGACCCGAACCCUCGUGAAGAACAGCAUCGGAAAAAACAGAGACAGGAGGUUCCCCCGACGCCGUUCACGCGUUUAAAUACGUCAAAAACCAAUAUAUUAAUGGAGAUCAAGGAUAUGAGGGAACUGAAAUGGCCUGUCAGAAUGAGGUCACCACCCGAAUCCAGGGACAUGAACAAGUACUGUGAGUUCCAUCGGGAUCACGGGCAUACCACGGAGAACUGUAAGGCCCUGCAACGGGAGAUUGAAGCCCUUAUUAAAAGAGGACUCCUGAGCUCCUACGUCGGUAACGACAAACGCCCGAGGAAUGAUCGUGGCAGGGAAAAAGACCCUGAGGCAAAAAGGGAUGGUCAACCN
rnacentral:lncRNA from 1 species